CCUGUUCCAGCUCCACCUCCUGUUCCAACACCACCUCCGAAUCCAGGUACAGAUCCAGGUCCACCUCCUGUUCCAACACCACCUCCGAAUCCAGUUCCACCUCCAGGGAGUCUUUCAGUCCCAACCCCUAAAGUGCCUCCUUGACCUAGUGCACCUCUUCCAGCUCCCCC